rnacentral:rRNA from 1 species
GCGUAGAUGUGUAUAAGAGACAGCCUGGCCUACGGGUGGCAGCAGUAGGGAAUCAUCCGCAAUGGGCGAAAGCCUGACGGUGCAACGCCGCGUGAGUGAGGAAGGUUUUCGGAUCGUAAAACUCUGUUGUUAGGGAAGAACAAGUACCGUUCGAAUAGGUCGGUACCUUGACGGUACCUAACCAGAAAGCCACGGCUAACUACGUGCCAGCAGCCGCGGUAAUACGUAGGUGGCAAGCGUUGUCCGGAAUUAUUGGGCGUAAAGCGCGCGCAGGCGGUCCUUUAAGUCUGAUGUGAAAGCCCACGGCUCAACCGUGGAGGGUCAUUGGAAACUGGGAGACUUGAGUGUAAGAGAGGAAAGUGGAAUUCCACGUGUAGCGGUGAAAUGCGUAGAUAUGUGGAGGAACACCAGUGGCGAAGGCGACUUUCUGGCCUAUAACUGACGCUGAGGCGCGAAAGCGUGGGGAGCAAACAGGAUUAGAUACCCCUGUAGUCUAGUA